UCCGGUUGAUCCUGCCGGACCCGACUGCUAUCAGAGUGGGACUAAGCCAUGCGAGUCAACAUAGCAAUAUGUGGCAUACGGCUCAGUAACACGUAGUCAACAUGCCCAGGGGACGUGGAUAACCUCGGGAAACUGAGGAUAAACCGCGAUAAGUCACUGCUUCUGGAAUGGGCAAUGACUUAAAUCUAUAUGGCCCCUGGAUUGGACUGCGGCCGAUCAGGCUGUUGGUGAGGUAAUGGCCCACCAAACCUGUAACCGGUACGGGCUCUGAGAGGAGGAGCCCGGAGAUGGGCACUGAGACAAGGGCCCAGGCCCUAUGGGGCGCAGCAGGCGCGAAACCUCUGCAAUAGGCGAAAGCCUGACAGGGUUACUCUGAGUGAUUUCCGUUAAGGAGAUCUUUUGGCACCUCUAAAAAUGGUGCAGAAUAAGGGGUGGGCAAGUCUGGUGUCUGCCGCCGCGGUAAUACCAGCACCCCGAGUGGUCGGGACGUUUAUUGGGCCUAAAGCAUCCGUAGCCGGUUCUGCAAGUCUUCCGUUAUAUCCACCUGCUUAACAGAUGGGCUGCGGAAGAUACUAUAGAGCUAGGAGGCGGGAGAGGCAAGCGGUACUCGAUGGGUAGGGGUAAAAUCCGUUGAUCCAUUGAAGACCACCAGUGGCGAAGGCGGCUUGCCAGAACGCGCUCGACGGUGAGGGAUGAAAGCUGGGGGAGCAAACCGGAUUAGAUACCCGGGUAGUCCCAGCUGUAAACGAUGCAGACUCGGUGAUGAAUUGGCUUUAUGCCAAUUCAGUGCCGCAGGGAAGCCGUUAAGUUUGCCGCCUGGGGAGUACGGUCGCAAGACUGAAGCUUAAAGGAAUUGGCGGGGGAGCACCACAAGGGGUGAAGCCUGCGGUUCAAUUGGAGCAACGCCGGAAAUCUUACCGGGGGCGACAGCAGAAUGAAGGUCAAGCUGAAGACUUUACCAGACAAGCUGAGAGGAGGUGCAUGGCCGUCGCCAGCUCGUGCCGUGAGGUGUCCUGUUAAGUCAGGUAACGAGCGAGACCCCUGCCUCUAGUUGCUACCAUUAUUCUCAGGAGUAGUGGAGCUAAUUAGAGGGACUGCCGUCGCUGAGACGGAGGAAGGAGGGGGCUACGGCAGGUCAGUAUGCCCCGAAACCCUCGGGCCACACGCGGGCUGCAAUGGUAAGGACAAUGAGUAUCGAUUCCGAAAGGAGGAGGCAAUCUCUAAACCUUACCACAGUUAUGAUUGAGGGCUGAAACUCGCCCUCAUGAAUAUGGAAUCCCUAGUAACCGCGUGUCACUAUCGCGCGGUGAAUACGUCCCUGCUCCUUGCACACACCGCCCGUCGCUUCAUCGAAGUUGGUUCUUGGCGAGGUGAUGCCUAAUUGGUACUAUCGAACCUGGGGUCAGCAACGAGGGAG
rnacentral:rRNA from 1 species